rnacentral:misc_RNA from 1 species
AACCAUUAGUUCUAGGAAACCAGAAAAAUCAAAGGUAUAGAAUUUAAUAACUUUAAUUCAGUUUUUACAUCAUCAAAGAAAACAUAAUGGCUUCUCACUAUCUGCUCCCCCCUAUAUUCUCAUUGGAAUACAUCAUCCAUUGAAGCUCUUAAAAGAAUUACCCUCCUCACCCUCUCUUAUCCAUCAGCUGUAAACAGAUCCAGAAAAUGGAAAUGUUCAAGAAAAAGACUAUCAAAAGAUACAACUCAUGGUUUCAUUGCAAAAUGUUUCUGUAGCUAAACCUUCGCUUUGGAAAAGGAAAUAAAAGUAAAAAAUUGAUCCUAGAAACAGAAAUAUUGGAAGAAAGAGACCUAGCCUGGACUGGGUUUCAUUAGCACAGCCCAGAGAGGCUUCAUCCUCCCAAUAUUUGCUUUAAACAAUAAAUGGUAAAAAAUUGAAUAAUUUCCGUGAAACUUUUAAAGCCAAUUCUUUACCUUCCGCCUCUCUUUUGCAUACUUUACCAUUACCUUCCCAACUUCACUUUCCGAUCAGUCAAAAACCCACAAAAAGAAUAUGUACCUUUGAUAAAAUUCUUUAACCUAUCUCAAUGAGUAAAAAUGAAUCAUUUUCACUAGACUACAAGCUCUUGCUGCUGAUCAAGCUGCAUCUGCUCAAGCCAAGAUUCCAAAACAGAAUCAAUUUGAGAAUUAGGAUUCAGUCCCUCACCAGAUGAGGCUGCACCAGAAACAGGUACACCAUACUUCUCCUUAAGCAUCUCAGGAGGCGAUUCCUUCACCAGAGACUGGACCCAUGAGAGGUCAGGCUCCUCACCAUUGUUUCCAAGCUCAAAUGAUGAUGAUCUUCGCAGGCGACCCUGUUCAUCUCCUCCAUUAACAGACCAAUCUAAUUUCCCAUUUGGGGAACCCCACUUGGUCCAAGAAUUCGCUGGAGAACCAACAAUGGAGGCUGCAGGAUUGUUUGAUCCAAGUUCUCUUGAGCUAAGACUCCGUAGUUGUUGAUGCUGCUUCUCCCGCUGGGCAAAAGCAGAGAGACGAGAGCCCAUUGGAGAGAUAGGCUCUACACUUCUUGGUGACAUCCUUCCAGGAGAUCCAACACCAAAUGAAGCCUGCAGUAGAGGGUGCUCAACAUUCAUUGGGGAGAAAACAGUUGUAUUGAUGGGUGAUAACAUGCUCUGCUGCUGCUGGAACUGAUUGAGAACUGCAGACUUGUGAGUUGGAGAGAAAACAGCUGCAGCCAAUGCUUGAUCAGCAUACCGAGGAGAAGAGCUCUCCGCAGAAAAGAGAUCAUCAAGGUUUGAAGGGGUUAGGGUUUUCAAACGACCAGAACGGUUCAGAGAGUUAUUACUCAAAGAUGGUUGAGUGAGACUGGAUAACUCAUUUAGGAGCUGCUGCUGCUGCACAUCAAAAUCUGGCAGCAAGCUGUAGUCCUCAGCUGGAAUGUCUCUUGCAUUAAGGGAAGAUCUCAAGCGACUUGACUGAAGAUUGCUUCCAGGGAGAUGCAAGGCUGGGACAUUUGGUUGGGGCCAAGAAACAGAAGAAUGUGACAUACCAUUGGUAGAUGGAGACAUGGGUGGAGUGAAUGGUGAUGGAGACAUAACAGAUACUGAAGAAGGAGAACCUGGCAAGAGGCUCAUGGCAGCAGCAAAAUCCAUUGCAGUGGCACCAGAAGUGCUUGAGCGAGGAGAGGGAACAGCAGAACCAGUGGAUAAAUAUAAUGGACGGAGUUCCUCCACAGUAUGGGCAAAAAAGCAAACUCUCCUAGCACAACUUACACCAUCUUUGCAAAGCCGGGUACGAUAUUGAGCUGGAUGAAGCCAGCACUCAAAAACUCCAUGAGCAUAUUCACACAUAUCUCCCCGUCUACAAGCCCCUUUCCGAAAAUCAGGACAUGGAACACAACUGUAAUGGAACUUCCUAGGAUCCCUUCUUCGAGCAUUUUCCCCUGGAUGAACAAAUGGGCACUCAGUCCAAUCAUGGGAGUAGGCACGGGAACAGGGCCGCACCUUGAAUGAAUACAUUCGGAAUUCAUCAGUUGAGUAGAUGCUGUUCUUGAUGUCUGGCAGAGAUGGAUCAACUGGGUAUUCUUUUUUCUCUGAUGCAGAGAAAACAGGUGCAUCAUUUAGCUUUGACUUCACAGGAGAAUCUGAUGCAGACAAUGGGGAGCCAUUUUCCACUGAAGGUGAAAGAGGUGGAGAAUUUGAAUUUGAGGUAGGUGUGGAAACCCUCAAAUUGCGCUCAAUAACAGAACCAUCAGUGGCAAGAAGUUCUUCAAGAGUAAAUUUCACACCUUGGAGCUUUGGUGGAACAACAAUAACAUCAAUUGGUCGAUGACCAUUGGCAUCUACCAAAUUAGGAUCAGCACCUGCUGCUAAAAGCAGUUUCACAGCAUCAACAGCAUUCACUGCCCCACCCGAGGCAGCACAAUGAAGGGCAGUGCUCUUAUCUAAACCACAAGUCCGAUUGACAUCAGCAUCUGAUAGAGACAGAAUCAGCCUUAUAAUGUCAAGGCUACCAUAAGUUGCAGCGACCAUCAAUGGGGUUCUAUAUUGGUUAACCAUCUGCUUGGGGCCUUUCUGACGACUAUACCAAAGUCCAGUCUCAUCAACACACAAAGGAUCACAUUCAAUUGAUCUCUUAAAGCCCUCAGUGUCAUUAUUAGCUGCAAGCUCAAGCAAGCUUGCAAAAGUAUCUUCAGUCUCAACGGUUAAAUGAUUCAUGUCUACGUUGGUUGGUCUACUGUCUUCAAAAGAAAUCACAGGAAGUGUUGGAGACGGUGUGGGCUUCAACCGCUCCGAUCCACAGCACAUACUUUCAUUUGUUAAAAGUAAAACUGAAAUUGAAAACUAAACCCAUUAGAAUCAACCUGCAGAUACAUACAAUUAUCACACAAACACCAAAUACUAAUAAGCAAAAACCAUAAAACUAAAGAACAUAACAACAGACCAAUUUCUUUCCCACUGCACCAAUCCAUAAAAAACAAAGGAAUAGCAAUUACAACUGCAAGAAACGCACAAGAAAGGAAAAGCUAGGCCCUUAUUGUAUUUAGAAUUUAAAGGGGCAUUGAUGGAGCAUAUCUACUUGAAGAUUAGGACCAAAACCACUGCAUAAGGCAGUACCAAUUUUUGGUAAUAGAACAACUUCGUUAUAUAGGAUCCACGCAACAUAAGAAGCACUAAAUGACACGAACAAGCAAAUCAAGCUCAAAGCCAAACAAUCAGAGAAAACCAGAAAAGGAAUUUUCUUUUUUCAUUUUCAACCUUAGAUUCUGUAAGCAAGUCUAAACUUGCUUUAGAUUUUACCUUAAUCACAAAAAUGUUGAGAAAAAGAAAUACCUGAAAAUGGCUUACUAUCUGUAUUAUUUUUCUCGUCCUUCAAUUUUAAGAUCCAAAUGGAGUAAAAGCCAUCAUAACUGAAUUGCAGGUUAUAAUUUGUAAGAACAGCAAAUUUUCAUUGGAAAAAAAAAUGAAAAUUAAGGGAGCAACCCGCUAACAGGAAAAAGAGAAGAGAAAGAAUGAAAAUCUGAAUUUCAAUUAAUUUACACCAGAAAUGAAAAUAGCUACAAAUGAACUGAGCUUACUCAAGUUGAGUCGAAGGAACUAGAAAAAUGCGAUCUUUUCUUUUUCAUCAUCACUUCCAUCAGUUUUCUCAGUAGCCAAACAGGAAAUUUUAAGAAGAUAGAAUAUAAAAAGCAAAAAAUCAUCUCAAUGAAAAGAUCAUUUACCCAUAGCAGAAGAAAACCCAAAAAAUCAAGAAACUAACCCAAGGAUCCAAAAACACAGAUUGAGCAGUUAGAACACACACAUACAAACAUGGAAUCAACAAUCAACCAGAAAAGAGAAGGAAAAGUACCAUUUAACACCAGUAAAACCUAGUAAUUUUAGCAAGAAUUAAAGUAAAAAACCAAAAAUAAAUAAAUAAAAACAAAAUUACCAGAUCGACAAGUAGUAAAAGAUCCGGUUUGGAGGCAAAAUCCUCAUCGAUUUUUACUCCACAAACGAAAACCAAAAAGAAAGAAGCAAAUAAAACCCAAAAAAGAAACACUCCCGUGACAAAGAUCUUACUUCAUGUGAUCAAACACGCUCAUUAUAUCCAAACAAAAGAAUGUUAGUGCAUAUAAAAACAGUUAAUAUUUACACAUACACACACAGAGAGAAGCAGACAUAUACAUGAUCAGGAGUACAGACACAAAAAAGAAGCAAACAAUGUUUUUUAAGGUUAAUCUUACCGCUUCACUUAGUUGCAGCUAAGAAAAAGGGAACAAAAGUUUCACAGAUCUAUAUAAGACUAGUCACUUAAGCCUCCUUCACCAAGUUAAAAAACUGAAAAUUUUCCCUAGAAAAUUUGUGGGCAAAGGAGCAAGAAAGAGUAUUUACUACUUGAGAGAGAGAGAGA